AAUGAAUGACUGCUUCACCUGAUAACAUGCACGGCUGCUGGCUGAAGUGAUUGUUUUUGCGGUAUCAAUAGCAUGGGAAGGAAGGAGAGCUGGGAAUUUUGCCAAUCCAUUUCUAGUUACUACUUUCCAUGUUGUUGCUCAUAAUCAGUUAAGUCCCAUUGAAGUUUUAGAUUGUUAAUUGUUGUUUCUUUUUUCUUUCCUAUUUUUAAUGCUUAAUGCCCUCUUUUGAAUAUGAAUGCAAUUUCAAAUUCUUUGAUUCACAUCAAUGGAGUUGUCAGUUUGUUUUUUUUGGGUGAUAUGUUAUGUAUUUCUAGUAUCUGACUUGUAAGAAUUCAAGUGCAUGGAGUAUAUUCCUUGGCUUUUGUUUUUCAUUAUCUUGUCUCUUUGUUCCUCUCAUUUUCAUGAGCCUCAAAAUCAUGUGUGAAUCGUGAAGGGUCCAGCAUGGUUUCAUGCCAUGUUUCAUUGUUUCUUAAGGUCUUGGGAGAAAGCUUCAGAUUUGAUCAUGGGCUCGUUGUUGAGACUUCCAAUUGUAUGCUUUUUGAAUGCUGUGUGCCAUUUUAGUCCUUGCUUUUUAUCAAUGUAAGAUUGGCUCAGGUUAGGGACCUUUAUUUAUUCAAGAUUCUUGGGUGGUUUUUGGUUUCUGGGGUUUUCUCCAGCUUCUUUCAUAGUUAGUUUCCUUUGAAAAGGACCUUUGUUCGAUAUUAGCUGUCAUGCUAGACACAUUAGUGCUUUGGGGAUGGUUUUUUUUCAUGUGUCUAUUGCUUUCUUUACCUUGGUGUGCGAUGCGCAAGUGUUUUUCCUAUCUCUCGCGAGGGAAAUCUUUCAUGGAUCUUCCGCGUGUUGUUUCUGUUCUGUCUUGCAUACUGAUUCAGUUUCCUUUUCAUUUUCUGUGAUGUUUGCCAUCCUGUUGACAAACCUUGACGGUCGGUAAUGUUCCUGAUGUUGUUUUGCACCGUUACCGUGCUUGUUUAUGGUCUUUAGCUUGUACCAUCGCUGCUCAUGUUGUUCUGGCCUCCAAUCUCGAGUGUUUUUUUAAUGAUUUUGCCGUUGUUUCCGCCAGUGCACGAUGCCUUUCACUAACAAACAAAUGUACUCUGCUGUUUAUUUCAUCACCAACUAAUUCAGCAUUUGUUCAACCAAGCGCAGGCACUGAUACUAGCUUAUUACCAUCGGAGAUGGCGAGAGAGGGAGGCAGAGCAUGGUUGUUUUUGGGUGGCAGAUACGCGGGCACAAGGUAAGCACGCUUAGUUUCAUUCACUUGUCUACACAUCAACCCUCUACAGGUUGUCUCCUCGAAACCAAAUGCAUGCACCGACAAAGAAAAACAACACUUUCCAUCCCUCGUCAUAUUUUAGCAAAAUCCAAAAGCAGAAAAAUGAUUUCAUUUUUAGCGUUGUGCAAAGAGAGAUGCAGCAAGAUAGAGGAGUGAGUGAAGAUGUGGGAGCCAAAUUAAGAAGGGAGAUUGAAGCCGACGCAGGGAGAUGAUCAACAGCGUGGCAUCCACAGAAGUGCCAGUCGCUGUCUGUCUGAAUACUUUGGUUUUUGG